AGUCGAACGGGAAGAGAUGAAGAGCUUGCUCUUUAUCAAAUCCAGUGGCAAACGGGUGAGUAACACGUAAACAACCUGCCUUCAGGAUGGGGACAACAGACGGAAACGACUGCUAAUACCGAAUACGUUCCACGGGCCGCAUGACCUGUGGAAGAAAGGGCAGCCUCUACCUGUAAGCUAUCGCCUGAAGAGGGGUUUGCGUCUGAUUAGGCAGUUGGUGGGGUAACGGCCCACCAAACCAACGAUCAGUAGCCGGUCUGAGAGGAUGAACGGCCACACUGGAACUGAGACACGGUCCAGACUCCUACGGGAGGCAGCAGUGGGGAAUCUUCCGCAAUGGACGAAAGUCUGACGGAGCAACGCCGCGUGAGUGAAGACGGCCUUCGGGUUGUAAAGCUCUGUGAUCCGGGACGAAAGAGCCUUGGGUAAAUAGCCUAAGGAAGUGACGGUACCGGAAAAGCAAGCCACGGCUAACUACGUGCCAGCAGCCGCGGUAAUACGUAGGUGGCAAGCGUUGUCCGGAAUUAUUGGGCGUAAAGCGCGCGCAGGCGGCUUCCUAAGUCCAUCUUAAAAGUGCGGGGCUUAACCCCGUGAUGGGAUGGAAACUGGGAAGCUGGAGUAUCGGAGAGGAAAGUGGAAUUCCUAGUGUAGCGGUGAAAUGCGUAGAGAUUAGGAAGAACACCGGUGGCGAAGGCGACUUUCUGGACGAAAACUGACGCUGAGGCGCGAAAGCGUGGGGAGCAAACAGGAUUAGAUACCCUGGUAGUCCACGCCGUAAACGAUGGAUACUAGGUGUAGGAGGUAUCGACCCCUUCUGUGCCG
rnacentral:rRNA from 1 species